rnacentral:rRNA from 1 species
GGGGGGGGGGGGGGGGGGGGGGGGGGGGGGGGGGGCGGGGGGGGGGGCGGGGGGUGGGGGGGGGGGGCGGGGGGGGAGCGGGGGGGUGACACGUGGGUAGCCUGCCCUUGACUUUGGGGUAACUUCAGGGAACUGGGGCUAAUACCGGAGAGGAGCUCCUGCGGCAUGGGGGGGGGUGGCAGGUUUCGGCGGUGGGGGAUGGACUCGCGGCUUAUCAGCUUGUUGGUGGGGUAGUGGCUUACCAAGGCUUUGACGGGUAGCCGGCCUGAGAGGGUGACCGGCCACAUUGGGACUGAGAUACGGCCCAGACUCCUACGGGAGGCAGCAGUGGGGAAUAUUGCACAAUGGGCGGAAGCCUGAUGCAGCAACGCCGCGUGCGGGAUGACGGCCUUCGGGUUGUAAACCGCUUUCGCCUGUGACGAAGCGUGAGUGACGGUAAUGGGUAAAGAAGCACCGGCUAACUACGUG